rnacentral:rRNA from 1 species
UCUCAGUUCGGAUUGGAGUCUGCAACCCGACUCCAUGAAGCUGGAUUCGCUAGUAAUCGCGCAUCAGCCACGGCGCGGUGAAUACGUUCCCGGGCCUUGUACACACCGCCCGUCAAGUCAUGAAAGUGGGCAGCACCCGAAGACGGUGGCCUAACCCUUGUGGGGGGAGCCGUCUAAGGUGAGGCUCGUGAUUGGGACUAAGUCGUAACAAGGUAUC